UUUUUGGCUACAAGUUGGGUUAUAGAGUAGAGGGUAUUUGGAUUGGGAUGAUCUGUGGGACAGCUUUGCAAACACUCAUCUUGUUGAUUAUUGUCUAUAGAACCAACUGGAACAAGGAGGUUGAGCAAGCAUCAGAACGAAUGCGGCAAUGGACCGGACAAGAAAUGGAUACUAAUACAACGACUUCUCCAGGUGCAGCGAAGAAUUAGUCUCUCUCAAAUCUACGACGGGCUACAUAGAGAUG
rnacentral:sRNA from 1 species